UGAUGAUAAGACUUGAUCUUGAACUCAACAGUCAUUUCGCAUAUCCAUGGUAAAGGGGCUAUUUGCAAUUUCAAAUAACUCGCCUGAAGCUUCGAAACCGGGGAGAAUCGUUAAACCAUGUGCACGUGCAUCUUCUUUUGUCGAGCAAAAAAUGUACUUCUCCCGUAUCCGCGACAGCUGUCAUCGCCAAUUUCACAUCGUUUUAUGAAAGUUUCAUAUCAGCAGAACGGCGGGGAGUAGAAAAAAUGAAAGGUAAAAAAUGUUCAAUGUCUUCCACCAAGGUAAUUCAACACUCUGCGAAAUUGAGUUGAGAAUAGCAUUCUUCUUUUCUGUACUCGCAUACUUUCUUCGACAUUAUACGUGUAUAUAUGUGAAAAUGAAUAUUUACGAAUGACAUCUAGCUGCCGAAGAAACGAGGAACAAACUGUGAAAUAAAA
rnacentral:misc_RNA from 1 species